rnacentral:misc_RNA from 1 species
UAAGGAAAUUUUCGGGAUGAAGAAAUUUCAACCAGUUUUGGAACUGUUACGACAAAAAAGCAGUGAUGAAUUACAGGAAGCUUUUUCUUCAACUGAUACGGCUAAAAGGAUAGAUUUUGUAACCUUCAGUGCGCUACUGAAAACAAAGUUGCAACUGAAUGUACCAGAAAAUGAAGUUAAGAAGUUAUUUUUCCAAAUCGACCGCUACUCUCGGGAUAGCGUUACGCUUGAAAACAUAAAUAAAUAUCUUGAAUAUUACGAAGAAGUUCGGUUACUGCAACAGGAUGGACCAUUUGAACCAACUCCAACAACAUAUUCCGCAGUGAGGUGCCAGGAUGCUGUUGUAGAAUGGACAUUGUUCCCAGAGCUGCAAGAUGUACCUCAUGAUCUAUCCGGCCAUUAUGUAUCGCUCAGUCGGACCGGGCUGUUAACAUUUUACACAAGAAGUAUGGAGAAACGCUUUGAGAAGUCUAUAGAAACUCUUGAGGAUGGAGGCAAAUUAAGCACGUGGGCAACUGCACUUGCAUGCAUACCGAGAAAAAAGUUGGUAGCAGUAUCUACGACAUCAGGAGACAUACGGUUCUUUCAAGCCACCAUGUACAAAUUUGAACAUAAAUUCUCCAUUGCAUGGUUACCUUCCAUCGUUGUGAGUCUAGAUUGUUAUAUGUCGGAGAAGCUAGUAUGCGGUGAUUUUUCUGGGCAUGCUUUUGUUUUAAAUAUGAGUUCUGAUUUCUUUUCAAAGCUGCACAGGAAAGCCCUUCACCUCGGACCAUACAUCAUCGCUUUCGACACUAUACAGAAAGGAAAGGUAAAGGGAUUACAAUGCCAGUAUUCCGCAAAAAACCACUUUACACCCAUACAAAAGGUCCAGUAUAUUCCUAAUCUCUGCGCUGUCAUUUCCUGUUCCGUACACACAAAAAGAGCCAUGCUGAUUCAUCACUUGGAUCGGAAUGAAAGUCUUAGUUUUCAGUCACCAGGUGGCAUCAACUCUUUCGCAUACUGUGCGAGACUUAACUGUGUUGCCACCGGAGGAGUUGAUCAUUCAGUGAUGAUAUGGAAUCCUUCUUACAACACCGUGCAUAAUGAAUCACUUCCGGGUCAUAUGAGUUCUGUUACCCAUGUUUUGGUGGAUGAGAAACGUCUUUUUCUAGUAUCCGUGGACAGAGAGAGAAAUUUGCGUGUUUGGGAUUUACUCAGGCCAACGUGCCUUCAACAUUUUAGAUUCAAGGAUGUCGAAAUUCCUGGUAGACAUCCCUUCUGUUCGGCAUUCCUGGACACAGAGAUGGGAAAGUUGUUCUUGACCACUAACCGGAUAGCUGUACUGGAAAGUCGUCAGACAUCUUUGCGUCUGACAACGCACCCAGGGAGCGAAUUUAUAAUAUUCGUUGCUUACAAUCAGAUCUUCGACUGCAUAAUCACAGUGGGAAACGUAUUUGUGGUCGCUCUCUGGGACCCUGAAUCCGGAUCACUAAUGUUCGAAUUCACUGAUAAUCACUCGGAAAUAGAUUAUGAUAUUUUUGAGAAUAAUGUGGACAUCAUGGCUGCUGGCCUUGAAUCGUCACAGCGACGUCUGAUAACAGCAGAUUUUUGCAGGUGGUUUUUCUGGAACCUUAAGCGUUUUCUACGACAAUGGAAUGGAGGAUGUGGAAUCCAGCGACUGGGAGAGACUUCAUUCAGGUGCUAUCAUAAGCAUUGAUUAUUAUGGUCGUAAUCUUGUGGCUACAGCUUCCUCUGACGGAGAUAAUAAUUUGGUUGAGAAAAAGCGCAGAUCCCAGGUUGAGAAUGAAAGAUUCUCCAAGCGAUACUUUGGGUUACAUUCGGAUCUAUGAACUCGAAGAAUAUUAUUCAGCCUAUGGUUCACAGCUUCCAGUUUGUCGAAAACCAGAAUCCCACCAUUUUCUCAAGUAUCCUUUUUUGCGGCUUCAAG